rnacentral:rRNA from 1 species
AAUAGCCUAACGGCUGAACCAGCAACUUGGAAGAAUGUAUAGCGAAAGCUAAUUGUAUUAAAUUAAUGCAGUGUGAAUAAUGUUCAUUAAAGUUCUAGAUAAAAAAAAUGAUUAUGACAUUUUAUAUUUAUAAGUCUUGACCAAGUCAUGUGCCAGCCGUCGCGGUAAUACAUGGAAGACUAGUGUUAUUCAUCUUUAAUAGGUUUAAAGGGUACCUAGACAGUUAAUAAAGCUUAUAUUACAAGAGUACUAAUUAACUAGAGUUUGAUAUGAGAAGAUAGAACGAGGAGUGUAGAGAUGUAAUUCUGUGAUCCCCUAUGGACUGUUUAAGGCGAAAGCGAUCUUUUAUGUAAAAACUGACGUUGAGGGACGAAGGCUCAGGUAGCAAAUAGGAUUAGGUAACCUAGUAGUCAGGGCAGACAAUGAUGAAUGUCAUAUGUAAGUAAAUAAAUAUUUAUAUAUAAAUGAAAGUGUAAGCAUUCCACCUCAAGAGUAAUGCGGCAACGCAUAAACUGAAAUCAUUAGACCGUUUUUGAAACCAGUAGUGAAGUAUGUUGUUUAAUUUGAUAAUCCACGGAAAACCUUACCACAAUUUGAAUAUAUAUUCAAAAUAUAUACAAGAGUUGCACGGCUGUCUUAAGUUAAUGUCGUGAGACUUUGGUUAGUUCCAAAAAAUCAACGUAAACCCUUAUUUUAUUUUUAAAUAAAAUAGUUCUCCAAUAUAUUGGAUAAGAUAACAGGGAUUAAGACAAGUCAUCAUGGCCCGAACAUUGUGGGCUAUAGACGUGCCACAUAUUCUAUACAAAAAGAUGCAAAAUUGUGAAAUUUAGCUAAUCUUAUCAAAAAUUGAUAUAAUAU